GACGGAGGAUGCAAGCGUUAUCCGGAAUGAUUGGGCGUAAAGCGUCCGCAGGUGGCAGUUCAAGUCUGCUGUCAAAGACCGGGGCUUAACUUCGGAAAGGCAGUGGAAACUGAACAGCUAGAGUAUGGUAGGGGCAGAGGGAAUUCCUGGUGUAGCGGUGAAAUGCGUAGAGAUCAGGAAGAACACCAAUGGCGAAGGCAGCUCUCUGGGACGGUACUGACGCUGAGACGCGAAAGCGUGGGGAGCGAACAGG
rnacentral:rRNA from 1 species